rnacentral:rRNA from 1 species
UACGUAGGGGGCAAGCGUUGUCCGGAAUCAUUGGGCGUAAAGAGCGCGUAGGCGGCCAGAUAAGUCCGGUGUGAAAGUCACAGGCUCAACCUGUGAAUGCCGCUGGAAACUGUCUGGCUAGAGUCCGGGAGGGGCGAGUGGAAUUCCUGGUGUAGCGGUGAAAUGCGCAGAUAUCAGGAGGAACACCGGUGGUGUAGACGGCUUACUGGACCACGAUUGACACUGAGGCACGAAAGCGUGGGUAGCAAACAGG